rnacentral:rRNA from 1 species
AACGAACGCUGGCGGCAUGCCUAACACAUGCAAGUCGAACGAGACCUUCGGGUCUAGUGGCGCACGGGUGCGUAACGCGUGGGAACCUGCCCUUAGGUUCGGAAUAACUCCCCGAAAGGGGUGCUAAUACCGGAUAAUGUCUUCGGACCAAAGAUUUAUCGCCUUUGGAUGUGCCCGCGUUGGAUUAGCUAGUUGGUAGGGUAAAAGCCUACCAAGGCGACGAUCCAUAGCUGGUCUGAGAGGAUGAUCAGCCACACUGGGACUGAGACACGGCCCAGACUCCUACGGGAGGCAGCAGUGGGGAAUAUUGGACAAUGGGCGAAAGCCUGAUCCAGCAAUGACGCGUGAGUGAUGAAGGCCUUAGGGUUGUAAAGCUCUUUUAACCGGGAUGAUAAUGACAGUACCGGGAGAAUAAGCUCCGGCUAACUCCGUG